rnacentral:rRNA from 1 species
CAGCACCUCAAGUGGUCAGGAUGAUUAUUGGGCCUAAAGCAUCCGUAGCCGGCGCUGUAAGUUUUCGGUUAAAUCUGAACGCUCAACGUACAGGCUGCCGGGAAUACUGCAGCGCUAGGGAGUGGGAGAGGUAGACGGUACUCGGUAGGAAGGGGUAAAAUCCUUUGAUCUAUUGAUGACCACCUGUGGCGAAGGCGGUCUACCAGAACACGUCCGACGGUGAGGGAUGAAAGCUGGGGGAGCAAACCGGAUUAGAUACCCGAGUAGUCC